GACGAACGCUGGCGGCGUGCUUAACACAUGCAAGUCGAACGGAAAGGCCCUGCGUUUGUGGGGUGCUCGAGUGGCGAACGGGUGAGUAACACGUGAGUAACCUGCCCUUGACUUUGGGAUAACUUCAGGAAACUGGGGCUAAUACCGGAUAGGAGCUCCUGCUGCAUGGUGGGGGUUGGAAAGUUUCGGCGGUUGGGGAUGGACUCGCGGCUUAUCAGCUUGUUGGUGGGGUAGUGGCUUACCAAGGCUUUGACGGGUAGCCGGCCUGAGAGGGUGACCGGCCACAUUGGGACUGAGAUACGGCCCAGACUCCUACGGGAGGCAGCAGUGGGGAAUAUUGCACAAUGGGCGGAAGCCUGAGGCAGCAACGCCGCGUGCGGGAUGACGGCCUUCGGGUUGUAAACCGCUUUCGCCUGUGACGAAGCGUGAGUGACGGUAAUGGGUAAAGAAGCACCGGCUAACUACGUG
rnacentral:rRNA from 1 species